UUAAUGUAUCUUUGUUACCAUGUAAUUACACAAAUAAGUACUGAUUAAUAUCAAUUAACAACAUUUACUUAUUAUAUG